rnacentral:rRNA from 1 species
AUUGAACGCUGGCGGCAUGCCUUACACAUGCAAGUCGAACGGCAGCACGGGGCAACCUGGUGGCGAGUGGCGAACGGGUGAGUAAUACAUCGGAACGUACCCUGUAGUGGGGGAUAACUACUCGAAAGAGUAGCUAAUACCGCAUACAACCUGAGGGUAAAAGUGGGGGACCGCAAGGCCUCACGCUAUAGGAGCGGCCGAUGGAAGAUUAGCUAGUUGGUAGGGUAAAGGCCUACCAAGGCGACGAUCUUUAGCGGGUCUGAGAGGACGAUCCGCCACACUGGGACUGAGACACGGCCCAGACUCCUACGGGAGGCAGCAGUGGGGAAUUUUGGACAAUGGGCGAAAGCCUGAUCCAGCAAUGCCGCGUGAGUGAAGAAGGCCUUCGGGUUGUAAAGCUCUUUUGUUUGGGAAGAAAUCCUAACGGAUAAUACCUGUUGGGGAUGACGGUACCAAAAGAAUAAGCACCGGCUAACUACGUGCCAGCAGCCGCCGUAAGAC